GUGGGGAAUCUUAGACAAUGGGGGCAACCCUGAUCUAGCCAUGCCGCGUGAGUGAUGAAGGCCUUAGGGUUGUAAAGCUCUUUCAGCUGGGAAGAUAAUGACGGUACCAGCAGAAGAAGCCCCGGCUAACUCCGUGCCAGCAGCCGCGGUAAUACGGAGGGGGCUAGCGUUGUUCGGAAUUACUGGGCGUAAAGCGCACGUAGGCGGACUGGAAAGUCAGAGGUGAAAUCCCAGGGCUCAACCUUGGAACUGCCUUUGAAACUAUCAGUCUGGAGUUCGAGAGAGGUGAGUGGAAUUCCGAGUGUAGAGGUGAAAUUCGUAGAUAUUCGGAGGAACACCAGUGGCGAAGGCGGCUCACUGGCUCGAUACUGACGCUGAGGUGCGAAAGCGUGGGGAGCAAACAGGAUUAGAAACCCUAGUAGUCC
rnacentral:rRNA from 1 species